GACGAACGCUGGCGGCGUGCUUAACACAUGCAAGUCGAGCGGGAUCCAACCGGUGGCAACACCGGGGAAGAUCUAGCGGCGAACGGGUGAGUAACACGUGAGCAACCUGCCCCGAAGACUGGGAUAACACCGGGAAACCGGUGCUAAUACCGGAUGUCGUCAUUAGGCCGCAUGACCUGAUGAUGAAAGGAUUCAUCGCUUCGGGAGGGGCUCGCGGGCUAUCAGCUUGNGGUGGGGUAACGGCCCACCAAGGCGACGACGGCUAGCUGGUCUGAGAGGACGACCAGCCACACUGGGACUGAGACACGGCCCAGACUCCUACGGGAGGCAGCAGUGGGGAAUCUUGCGCAAUGGGCGAAAGCCUGACGCAGCAACGCCGCGUGGGGGAUGAAUGCCUUCGGGUUGUAAACCCCUUUCAGCAGGGACGAAAUUGACGGUACCUGCAGAAGAAGCCCGGCCAACUACGUGCCAGCAGCCGCCGCGGUAAG
rnacentral:rRNA from 1 species